rnacentral:rRNA from 1 species
GACGAACGCUGGCGGCGUGCUUAACACAUGCAAGUCGAACGGAAAGGCCCUGCUUUUGUGGGGUGCUCGAGUGGCGAACGGGUGAGUAACACGUGAGUAACCUGCCCUUGACUUUGGGAUAACUUCAGGAAACUGGGGCUAAUACCGGAUAGGAGCUCCUGCUGCAUGGUGGGGGUUGGAAAGUUUCGGCGGUUGGGGAUGGACUCGCGGCUUAUCAGCUUGUUGGUGGGGUAGUGGCUUACCAAGGCUUUGACGGGUAGCCGGCCUGAGAGGGUGACCGGCCACAUUGGGACUGAGAGACGGCCCAGAAUGCUACGGGAGGCAGCAGGGGGGAAUAUUGCACAAUGGGCGGAAGCCUGAUGCAGCAACGCCGCGUGCGGGAUGACGGCCUUCGGGUUGUAAACCGCUUUCGCCUGUGACGAAGCGUGAGUGACGGUAAUGGGUAAAGAAGCACCGGCUAACUACGUG